CGUUGUUUGAUUGGGGGCUUACACUGAACAGCCAGAAGUCAGCAGAGGUCAUAGUACCUGACUAGCUUAAGAUGGUUAGGGAAGGAC
rfam:Bacillus sporothermodurans strain B4102 NODE_24, whole genome shotgun sequence.